GUGGGGAAUCUUGCGCAAUGGGCGAAAGCCUGACGCAGCCAUGCCGCGUGAAUGAUGAAGGUCUUAGGAUUGUAAAAUUCUUUCACCGUGGACGAUAAUGACGGUACCCGGAGAAGAAGCUCCGGCUAACUUCGUGCCAGCAGCCGCGGUAAUACGAAGGGGGCUAGCGUUGCUCGGAAUUACUGGGCGUAAAGGGCGCGUAGGCGGACAGCUGAGUCAGAGGUGAAAGCCCAGGGCUCAACCUUGGAAUUGCCGUUGAUACUGGCUGUCUUGAGUAUGGGAGAGGUGAGUGGAACUCCGAGUGUAGAGGUGAAAUUCGUAGAUAUUCGGAAGAACACCAGUGGCGAAGUCGACUCACUGGCCCAAUACUGACGCUGAGGCGCGAAAGCGUGGGGAGCAAACAGGAUUAGAAACCCCUGUAGUCC
rnacentral:rRNA from 1 species